AAAAAAAUUAAUCAAAAACCCUAAUGAAUCUCUUUAUAUUUCCAAGAUCUCUUAGUUCAUCAUCAUCAUCAUCAUCAUCAUGAACUCAAUCUCAAAAGCUUAUCGUAAAAACUCAGGCACUCUCAUCACCACCAGGUCUUGAUUCUUCAUCUUCUUUGAUUAGAUUGCCUCAAAGAAGUAAUGCCGUAAUCAGAUCACCACAUAUUGAUGAAAAAUCAAUUUGAAAUGAGAAUUCAGAAUCAAUAUCAAUUUGAAUUGAAAAGACAGCGGAUGUGCGAUGGAUGUGCGAUGCUCAGAUUGAACUUCAGCUUACGUUCGGAUCAUCUUAAACGGGAGCGGCUUCCCACUCCAAAGAAUUAAUGAACAUGGGAUGCGUGACUCUUGGACUACACAUGAGCAGAUAUUCACUUUGCAAGUCUCUUUGGUCUUCAGAAUAUGGUGCAAUGCUCUUCAUUUGACUCUUGGACUAGACAUGAGCAGUUUCCACCUAGUUUCACAUUUCACGGUGUUUUGCACAAUGCUCUUCAUUGGACAAGCGAUGCCUCCAAUUAUAUAGUCUCUUUUGAUAUUAGUAAUGAGAAAUUCAUGGAUGCACCUCUACCAGAAAAAAGUAUUAGACAUCCAGAAUAUAGCAACACGGAAUUGUGUAAGAACUUGGGAGUACUGGGAGACUACCUAAGUUUAGUUUUAGUCGGAAAAAAAGCUUGUCCAAGUAGAAGUAUGGGUAAGCAGGAUUAUGGAGAGAAAAUCUUUGAAUAACUCAAAAACCAAUUACCAAUUAUCCUCACUGUAUGGUUGUGUUGUCACUUGAAAAUGGCGAAAUUCUAAUGUAUACCUAUGACGGUUCUGUUU